GACGAACGCUGGCGGCGUGCUUAACACAUGCAAGUCGAACGGUGAACCUCUUCGGAGGGGAUCAGUGGCGAACGGGUGAGUAACACGUGGGCAACCUGCCCCCGGCUCUGGGAUAACUCCAAGAAAUUGGGGCUAAUACCGGAUGUUCACCGCUUCCCGCAUGGGUGGUGGUGGAAAGGGUUUCCGGCUGGGGAUGGGCCCGCGGCCUAUCAGCUUGUUGGUGGGGUAGUGGCCUACCAAGGCGACGACGGGUAGCCGGCCUGAGAGGGUGACCGGCCACCAGGGGACUGGAACACGGCCCAGACCCCAACGGGGGGGAAGAGGGGGAAAUUUUGCGAAAGGGGCGGAAGCCGGACGCAGCGCCGCCGGGGGGGGGAAGACGGCCUUGGGGUUGGAAACCUUUUUCCGCAGGGACGAAGCGCAAGUGCCGGUACCUGCAAAAGAAGCCCCGGCCAACUAGGU
rnacentral:rRNA from 1 species